rnacentral:lncRNA from 1 species
CACGCUUUUGCACAGAAGACCUGAUACGCACAGUGAGGCAGGCAGAGCAGAAGGUCCUUCUGCUGGGAGCACCGCCCGCAGCAGGCAGUGGAGGCAGCGCCGACGCAGGACACGACCUGCAUCAUCUGCAUGGAGCCCGUGGGGGACAGCAGGUCGUACUGCAUCAUGGUGUGCCGAGCCUGCCAACAAGCCUGGUUCCACCAGGCCUGCAUCCAGGAACAGGCCAUGCAUGCCGGCAUUUAUUGCUUCCAGUGCCCCGUCUGCCGAGACUGGACCAGGUUUAUUCCAGACAUGCUCAUUUUGGGGAUCCGAAUCCCAUUCAG